AUUGAACGCUGGCGGCAGGCCUAACACAUGCAAGUCGAACGGUAACAGGAAGAAGCUUGCUUCUUUGCUGACGAGUGGCGGACGGGUGAGUAAUAUCUGGGAAACUGCCUGAUGGAGGGGGAUAACUACUGGAAACGGUAGCUAAUACCGCAUAACGUCGCAAGACCAAAGAGGGGGACCUUCGGGCCUCUUGCCAUCGGAUGUGCCCAGAUGGGAUUAGCUAGUAGGUGGGGUAACGGCUCACCUAGGCGACGAUCCCUAGCUGGUCUGAGAGGAUGACCAGCCACACUGGAACUGAGACACGGUCCAGACUCCUACGGGAGGCAGCAGUGGGGAAUAUUGCACAAUGGGCGCAAGCCUGAUGCAGCCAUGCCGCGUGUAUGAAGAAGGCCUUCGGGUUGUAAAGUACUUUCAGCGGGGAGGAAGGGAGUAAAGUUAAUACCUUUGCUCAUGGACGUUACCCGCAGAAGAAGCACCGGCUAACUCCGU
rnacentral:rRNA from 1 species